UUGACAAAUUUCUCAUUAACAAGGAUAAUUGAUAAAACUUAAACCCUAUCUAGCACCGAUUAGUCUUACCAAACACAUCUAUUCCACUUUUACUACCUUGCAAUUGUACUCACUCACACGCUUGUGGAUACGUACUGCAUGAACUCGCCAUCCAAUUCAAGCCCAUCCAUUGUUUCUGGUGCUAACACAACCUCCAGAUCAACGCUCCCGUUCCCUUCUCUCCCUGGAAAUGCUGAUAUCUUACCGUCAAACUUAUUCGCCCUACCACUCCUAAUGGCCAAAGGUCGACCCCACCCGAAAUCAUUUUCGUACAUUGGGAAUCUCGGGGAGCUACCCAUCGUGAUUGAGGCACCGUCGAAGUUCCCUAAUGGGAAUAAGCGGGGUUCUCUCUCCCAAUCCGUUAUGCCCUUCCGCACGGUACCAUCAUCGUGCGCGACAACGUUUUUGUGCAGAAGCUCAGCUCCCCAGUGCAGAUCAUGAGAGAGCAGCUCCCCUACAGGAGCGAUGGUGGGGAUGCUCUGUAUAGCGUUUCCAAAGUAGUACGGGUGGAGCCAAGGCUCGAGCCGGUGGCGGCAGUUCACAGCCAUACGAAACGUAGUCUUUUUAGAAGGGGAGAGAUUUCUUGCACGUGUGACGGAGCGCCAGAGCUGUGCGCACAAUGAUUGAAACGAUGAAAUCUCUACCGUUUUGUUCUUCAAGAAAUUCUCCGAGAUUGGCGCUAUUUUGUCGUUACUGUCUCCAUUAACGACUUUCCAACUGUCAUUGCAUUGCUUUCCCAAAAUCUCAGCGGGGUUGCAUAAGAUAUUACCAUUAUUGGCUCUGUAUUUGAGCCUAAUAAUAGCUUCUCUGCUGAAGUGGAAAAUUCUCUCGCGCAAUGGUUCGUUACCUGAAAAGGUAAGCUUUGGGCCACCAGCAGGGAAUUUAAGCACCGCCGGAGAAUUGAAAACAGUGUCACGGCUAAAAUCAGGAGAUUUUGAUAUUCUCUUAGCUCCUUUGCAGAAUUCAGCGAAGCUAUUGAAGAAAUGCCAAAAGGAAGUUCCAUCUGUAACAGCAUGAUUUACAGUACAGCCAAUGAAAACACCAUCAGCGAGCUCUGUGACCUGAACUGCGGCUAAGGGCUUAGAGUGACCAGAAUAACUGAGCAUUCUGUCAAAAGCGAAGAACUCCUUGAAGCAAUCAGGGACAUCAGAAGGAGAAAGAACGUUGUUGAUAAAAAGAUGUGUAGCUUUGGCUUGGAAGAAAUCAAUGCCUGCAUCAUUGCAAACUAUAUGGACAUGUCCAUCAGGGUCUGUGGAGAGACGGCCAGCAAGAGGAGGGAAGAAAGAAAGAGCGGUGGAAAGAGAGCGUUUGAGAAAUGUGAUGAGGUCGUCGAAAGAGUAAGGUGGAUAAGAAAGGAGGACACCCUUUUGGAUGUAUUGACAGGAGAGCAUGGGGAGAUCAGAGACAGAAAGCUUGAGGGUCUUGAGAGAGGAUUUGUGAUCAGGGUAGACAGUGCAUUUGGAAAUGAUAGUAGUAGAAGAAGAAGGCAUUUUUGUAGGCUAUGAAAAAUGAUGAGAGAGUGGAGU
rnacentral:misc_RNA from 1 species